CACGGAGUUAGCCGAUGCUUAUUCAUACGGUACAUGCAGGGAGUCACUCGUGACUCUUGUUAUUCCCGUAUAAAAGAAGUUUACAAUCCAUAAGACAGUCAUCCUUCACGCGACUUGGCUGGUUCAGGCUCUCGCCCAUUGACCAAUAUUCCUCACUGCUGCCUCCCGUAGGAGUCUGGUCCGUGUCUCAGUACCAGUGUGGGGGUUCAACCUCUCAGUUCCCCUACCCAUCGUCGCCUUGGUGAGCCGUUACCUCACCAACUAGCUAAUGGGACGCAUGCCUAUCUCACAGCGAAUUUCAUUUCCUCUAGCUUGGAUGCCCAAGCUGGAGUGUACGCGGUAUUAGUCCGUCUUUCGACGGGUUAUCCCCCUCUGUGAGGCAAGUUGCAUACGCGUUACGCACCCGUGCGCCGGUCGCCAUCAGUCUUAGCAAGCUAAGACCAUGCUGCCCCUGACUUGCAUGUGUUAAGCCUAUCGCUAGCGUU
rnacentral:rRNA from 1 species